rnacentral:ncRNA from 6 species
ACGCUUGACGCAGGUCAACCCUGCGCCCGCCCCGUGCGCCCGUCCCCGGGCGUCAUUGACCCUGGUCAAUUUCCUUGCGCCCGACAUUGGUUACUGUUUCCCCAUCGGACAACGGCGAACAAAUGGAGAGGUCGGCAUGUUCUUCGACAACGUGGUUAUCGCAGGGGUGGUAACGGUGGGGUUGAUGGUGGCUUUCUUCGCCGGUCUAGGCAUUUUCAUCUGGAAAGACUCGAGCAAGCGCAAGCGCCCUUGACCUUCCUGAUUCAUGAGCACGCAAGGCAUUUAGGGCGACUUCGGUCGCCCAUU